rnacentral:lncRNA from 1 species
UGAAACUGACCUACCCCUAAAAUCAAUAUUCUAUUUGUCCUGAUCACAUCAUUUCCUGGUGUAAGUGUCCCUCCAUGAUUCUCUGGACUCAACCGUUGAGCUCCUGCCCCCUGGAGCGGACAGUGACACCAGGGAGGAACUAGGGAGCGGAGAAGUCCAUAGACGGCACUAGCAGCUGUGUAGCCCAGUUGUAUGGCCAGAGUGGGGCCGGUGAGAUGUGGCAUCCUGGAGGACUCAGACCAUCAUCACCACCCUUCAUCACCGGUCAGGAGGGAGAGGAGGAGGAAGAGCAGUCCUGUUCCUGUUUCUCCCUCUGUACCUGAGAUCUCCAGAGGAACACUACUAGCACCAGUCUCCACCACAGAGUCAGAGCUGCCCACUGCAGAGGAGCUGAUGCGUCCCAUCCGACCAGACAGCAUGGACGACACCAGAGGCUGCUAGUGGGAACCAGCUCAGCCCAGAGAAGACUGGCCAGUUCUUAAGCAAUAGAUCAGCAGAGCCAGACACUCCUCUGGCCUCCCCAGGCCCCCGUCCCAGAAGCAUAAGAGAGGAGGUACAGAGGCUGAUGAAGCAGGAUCAGGACAGCUCCUGACCUGACCUCCACUCAACUCAGCAACAAGAGAAGCCAGCAGGUAAGGGACAGGAACGGAGCCCUUGUUAAUAAGCACUAAACCCUACCAUACAUAACCACACUGAUUCAGGCGUUCACACCUACCUGAACUGUUUCCACAUUACAUAGCCAUUGCUCCGACAUGCCUCAUCCUAAUA